GCCGUGAGGGCGGCGGCGCUGAGGGGACGGUCAGAGGGGCCAGAGGUGUCCCUGCUGCUCCUCUGGGAAGGGCGAAGGGGCAGCUGGCGUUUUCCUCCAGGCGAUGUAUUAUCUAAUUGUAGAAAAUACGUAGGCCAUCUCAGCCACAAUCCAGGGAACAAAAGACCACAUUAAAAAGAUGUUUUGGCAAUUCGAGGUACUUCGGUUCUCCUUAAUAAAGAUGCUUUCUUAAAUAUAACAGGUUUGCUUGAUAGCAAAUGGAUCACACAGCCACACCCUACUGAGAGAGUUCAUUUCUGCAGCCAUCCUAAAAAGUUUUACAAGGAGCAGCAAUUCUCAGAGAAACUAAUGUUUAAGGUGAUGCAAAUAAUUUACAAAAAUAAAGUGCUCUGGUCAGUAACCCUGGGUGUCUGUGGAUACAGAAUCUGCUCAAACACUUCCCAGCCACAGCCAUGCAUUUGGAUAUUUAUGCCUCAGGUACUG